rnacentral:rRNA from 1 species
UACGGAGGGUGCAAGCGUUAUCCGGAUUCACUGGGUUUAAAGGGUGCGUAGGUGGGCAGGUAAGUCAGUGGUGAAAUCUUUGGGCUUAACCCGAAAACUGCCAUUGAUACUAUUUGUCUUGAAUAUUGUGGAGGUCAGCGGAAUAUGUCAUGUAGCGGUGAAAUGCUUAGAUAUGACAUAGAACACCAAUUGCGAAGGCAGCUGGCUACUCAUAUAUUGACACUGAUGCACGAAAGCGUGGGGAUCAAACAGG